UUGACCUCAAAUCGGGUGAGACUACCCGCUGAACUUAAGCAUAUCAAUAAGCGGAGGAAAAGAAACUAACAAGGAUUCCCCUAGUAACUGCGAGUGAAGCGGGAAAAGCUCAAAUUUAAAAUCUGGUGGCCUCUGGUCAUCCGAGUUGUAAUUUAGAGAAGCGUCUUCCGCGCUGGACCGUGCACAAGUCUCCUGGAAUGGAGCGUCAUAGAGGGUGAGAAUCCCGUCUUUGGCACGGAUCCCGGGGCUUUUGUGAUGCGCUCUCGAAGAGUCGAGUUGUUUGGGAAUGCAGCUCAAAAUGGGUGGUGAACUCCAUCUAAAGCUAAAUAUUGGCGAGAGACCGAUAGCGAACAAGUACCGUGAGGGAAAGAUGAAAAGCACUUUGGAAAGAGAGUGAAACAGUACGUGAAAUUGUUGAAAGGGAAACGCUUGAAGUCAGUCGCGUCGUCCGAGACUCAGCCUCGCCUCGGCUUGGUGUACUUCUCGACCGACGGGUCAGCAUCAAUUUCGCCCCUUGGAUAAUGGCGUGGGAAAUGUGGCACCUUUGCGGGUGCGUUAUAGUCCCUCGUCGCAUGCAAGGGUCGGGAUUGAGGAACUCAGCACGCGCCUUUCGGCGUCGGGGCUUUUGCCCACGAUACGUGCUUAGGAUGUUGGCGUAAUGGCUUUAAACGACCCGUC
rnacentral:rRNA from 2 species